CAUAACAGUAGCAAAAUUACAGAUAUGAAGUAGCAACGAAAAUAAUUUUAUGGUUGGGGGUCACCACAACAUGAGGAACUGUAUUAAAGGGUCGCGGCAUUAAGAAGGUUGAGAACCACUGGAAUAGAAACUAAAAUCAAAAAAGGAACAAGGUAAAAUUUUAGAUUUAGGAAUUUGUUUAUAUAUUUUUAAAUGAUGGAAAGUAGCAAAUAAGUUGAAUACUGUUAGAAGAACACCACAACAGUUUUAUUUCUAAAGGUCACUAUUUUUAGUACAGGCAUAUCUCUGCUUUACUGCACUUCACAGAUGCUGCGACUUUUACAAAUUGAAGGCAAGACUCUCCACCAGCAAAAAGACUAUAACUCACUUUAUUACGACUGUCUGGAACCAACCUGCAAUAUUCCUGAGGACAGUAUUGAUAUGUCUUCCCUCUGGCAAACCCUGAGCCCACCACUCCCCCCAGGCUGCCUGGGGAGGUCAAGGAAAAGGAACAUGCAGGGCAAAUAAGACACGGGAGAAGGAGCCGUGGGAGGUGGAGACAGCUGCUUCACAUGGCAAAGGGUUUUGGACAGUGCAGCUCAGGGCUGCUUCUGGACAGGGCUGGGGAGCUGCAGGAGGGGAAGGCAUCUAUGAAAGACCUUCUGAAAACGACUCAAGAACAUCUAAGAUUUCUCUGGAAGAGAAGAGUUUUUUUACUAAUGACUUCAUUCAACGAACACAGGAACUGAGUCUACUGGUACGGGAGAUUCAAUGCAAUGCAACUAAACGUUACGAGGCAUAAACUUGGUGUUAGGCGUUGUACUCCAGUACAAAUCAGAAAUUUGAACCCAUCUCUUCAACAAUUACUGAAUGAAAACCCACUUUUAUACCACAACAGUUUAUUUUUCUUCAAAGUACUUUGAGACCCCCAAACAUAACAUAUAACAUCUAGUAUCUGUUUAUUACCUAACUCUCUGCACUAGAAUAUAAAAUUCAUGAGGAUGGGGACAUUUUGUUCUGUCUUAUCUUUGCAUGUUCUGGCGUUUGCCAGAAUAGAGCCUGGCUUGUGGAUAUCACUAAAUGUUUGAAUGAAUGACUAAAUGUUAACUGUCUGUUUCCCAACCAGAUGUUUUGAUCCACUGAUGUUUUAUCACUGUAUAGCAGGGCCUACAAGAGACUCUGUCUCAUAGUAAGAACUCUGUAAGCAGCUGCUGAAUAAACAAAUACAGAUUCUU